CCCGGUGGGACCCCCGGGUGACACCCCCGGCCCCUCGCCGCCGCUCCCUCCCUCACCGGUGACACCCCCGGCCCCUCGCCCGCCGCUGCCUCCCUCACGGGUGGCACCCCCGGCCCCUCGCCCGCCGCUCCCUCCCUCACCGGUGACACCCCCGCUUGGAGUGGGGGUCGAUCCCCCGGGAUGUGAGGGCACCCCCGGGUGACACCCCCGAUCCGUUCCGCGGCGGGUGAGGGGACCUGUCACAGCCCUGGUCCCGCCACCAACGCUAAGGCCGCUCUGGUGACACCCCGGCCCCACGGGGUGUGAGGGGACCCCCGCGUCCCCAGCCCUGACCCCUGCCCAGGGUGGGGGUCCGUUCCUCCGCCUGUCACCUCGUGGGGCUUUGAGGGGUUGAGGUUUUUGGUGAGCUGUCACUCCUGUCCUCCAUCCCCUGAGCAGUCCCGGGUGUUCCUUGUCACCUGUGGAGGGAAGUGUGAGGUGACAGGAGUUCCGCAGGGUCACAGCUUCGGUGGUUGGUGAUGGAGCGGGUCCCUCUCCAGGGAGAUAAAUAUGGCAAUGACACAGGUUUUGAGUGGCACAGCUCGAGGGGUGCCAAGCAAAGGAUGCACAGCUCCUGGGAAGUCUGAGCAAGCACCUCUUCCCCAUCACCCACGGACAGAAACACGGUUGUGACUCGUGGAGCUCAUGUCUUGGCUGCUCACAAGUGUGAUAAAUGUGUGUUUUAUCAAGUGAGCUCUGGCUUGAAAGCCUUGAUUUUUGUUCCUCAUCAGGACAGAGUGUUGAUGAGCUUCUCGACUGCAGCGUGGCAUUUCUCUCCAAACAAAGCCAUUUUUGCUAUAACUGUGGAAACUGAACAAUGUUUUGCCUGAAGCUGGUGCAAAUCUGUCUUCCCAUGAUGGGCCAGCACCACGCUUCUCUAUUUUCCCUUCAUUUUUCAGUGUAGACAAGGCACAACUGUUUCUCUGCCUUUUUCCUUCUAAUUGAAAAAUAUCCUGAUGGUUUCUGAUAGUUGCCAACAUGUGUUAUUUUUAGCCUGAACUUUUACAGUCACUCAGUUAUCUAUGAAGUAUUGGUAAUAUAAAAUUCAUCCAUCAUGGCUGAAAUAAAUUCACUGUAUUCUUAUCUAGCCUGUGGUCUCCUUUGAAAUGCAGAAAUGGAGCUCCAGUAGGGAUCAGGUUGCUGUUGAAUGUGACUGGGUGCAUUUUGGUGUGUUAUCCUCAGUUUCCUGUAGUCUGGUAAGUUUGUAUUUUACCUUCUGCAGUACGCUCUGCAUUUCCAUUUUUUUUUUUUUUUUGGAAGCAUCCAGUUUAACUUUGCUUGCUAAGUCAUUCAGAUGCUGAGAAAAUGGAAGAGUUGAGUGCUGCCUACCUACUUCGACAACAAAAACUGGGGGGAGCAAUGGGUUAUGGAUGUGAGCAGCUGUCAUUUUGACCACUGAGGUACACAAUGAGUUAUAUGAAGUCUUAAAACAAAAAAACCUCCACAGCCAAACAAAUCCAACUCUAUGCAUCUGAAAUAAGUCUCUCCAACUCUCACUUUCUUUAUUUGCCCUUAGACUGACAUUGUUGUCAAGCUCUAAUGGAGGAGGGGAAAUCUAACAGCUUUAAAAUCACACACUGCUGUCUGCUGUGUGACCUUUUUCCAGUUGAUGGUUCAAUUUAUUUAGGUGAUAAAGAAAACACUGAGGCAUGUGAAGUCUAUCUUCUUGACAGAUCUGAGCUUACUGAAACUUUUUCCUCAUCCUUUUCUCCUUCCUCACAUUCACAGUCAGUCUUUUGUUUUUAUAAAGCGAUCCAUAUAUUUUUCUUUUAGAUUUAAAUGCUUUCUAAUCUUUUCAAGGUUUACAGAACUGCACCUGGCUGCUGAGGGUGUGGAGAGGCAGAUGGACUGAUGGUUGUGGUGAUGUCCUGAGAGAGAUGUUUGCCUUUUGUGCUGAGUGGUGCAUGGUGUAUGUAAAAAGCUUGGCGUGUCAAAUGUGAGGGCUUGGUCAGGUCUAUUAUGUUAUUUUUCUAAAUAUCAUUAAAUGGUGAAAGGAGAAAUAUCCAGUAUUGGUGAGCCACUGUAGCUGAUUGACCUCAUCCAGUGGGUGGGCAUCCCUGCCCAUGGCAAGAGGUUGGGAAUAGAUGAUCUUUAAGGUCAUGCCUUGACACAGAUUUCUGGUAGAACUUAAUGAGAAUUUUCCCCAAAA